ensembl:lincRNA
CGCGUCCGUUCUCCAUCCUCAAUAGUGGGUGACACCCUCUUAGAGAGCUCGGCCCGUUCCUCCACCUCCCGGAUGAGGCCAAGGAAGCAGGGAGUGCAGGCCAGCUGAAGGCGUCAGAGGGUGAGCUGGCGAUGAGCUCAGGCGUGAGGUGAGCCCAGGCGGGGGGAGGAAAGGGUCGGCCACCGGAGCACCGAGGAGCGGAAGGCGGCCUGCGGCUGGGUUUCCUAGGACCCCUCUCAGGCACAAUCACACUGCGUGGGGUUACACAAGUCUAACCACAGAAGCUCAACAGCCCCUGUCUAUGUUUCCAAGCAUCUCCUGAAAGGAUCUGCAACCCCUCAAGCUGGGUCAGGGGCUUCCUUCUCUCCAGACCGCAGUGCUGCACCCUGGUCAUCACUGGCCCAGCCGGUCUUAGACACCCAGAGGCUGUAGGGAGCUGCGCCCGUGCUGGCUGGAGCCUGGUCACCUGUCCCCUGCAGGGCUGGGGCCAGCAGGAUUGGGCCAAAGGAGACCUGGAGUGUCUGUGUGGACAGAGGAAGACAGGAGCAGAGGACAAAGGAGACGCUGGCUUCAAGAGCGCGGAGAGGCAGCCAACUUCUAUUUCCAACAAGCGAAGGACGGUAAAAGGCAAGCGCCAUGCUGCUGAGCUAAAUCCCCAGCCCCGAUCCUCAGCUUUCGAAGGAACAGCUACUCGUUUCCCACGAGGGAGUCACGCUCCCACCGCGGUGAGAGGGAGGGUGCCCCAGCCGGGACAGCACUCACCAUGGCCCCUUGUCUGACCACUCUGGCUGUGGAUCCGGCUCCCAAGGGUUUCCAACAGUGACACCUCUGCACAUGCACUCUCCAUAGACAAAGUCUGUGCCUGUGUUUUGCCUAAUAUAGUUUCUUCUCUAAAAUAUUUUGUUGUAAGGCAGUUUUAAAUAUAAGGGAAAAUCAUGAAGCUAGCAGAGUUCCCACAGAGGCCGUGCUAGUUCUCACGAUUAGUGAGGUACACUUGUCAUCGUUAAUGGCCACAUGAAGGCACUGCAUGUUUUUUGCUUUUGUUUUUUGUUUUUGAGACAGGGUCUCGCUAUGCAGUUCAGGCUGGCCUUGAACUCAUUAUGUAGCCCAGGGUGGCCUCGAACUCGCAGCAAUCCUCCUGCCUCAGCCUCCCACAUGUUGGGAUUAUGGCUAAUUACCAGCUAUGGCUAAAUGUGCCUGAGUUUCCUCAGUUUCCCCUGGUGCUCCUUUCUGUUCAAGACCCCACGCAGGAGACCACAGCUCAGGGAAUCGCCAUGUC